rnacentral:lncRNA from 1 species
UGCAAUCAUAAUAAGAACCACAAGGGUCGGUCCAGUCAUAAUAUCAGUUUGGAGAUGUCUGUGGGAAGCUCACCAGGGCCCAGGUAGGCUCCCUUCCUAGCAUGGAGCCCAACCUGGGGUCCUAGCCCAUGACCCUAAGACCAAGACCUGAGCCCAGAUCAAGUGUUGGAUGCUCAACAGCCCAGCUGUUGGAGCAAACCUACCAGCAAAAGUUCUCAGUACCCCACCAGAGCAGUGGUUGGUCAUUUCUGACCUAGCCCAGCCGGAUGAGACAAUGAGCUCAGUCAUCUCAGCUGGGCACCGGUGGGCCCAUGGGUCUUGUGUUAGAUGCCUGGGAUCCAGCAGGACUUUUCUCCAGGGAACUGAAUGAGUGCCGAGUCUAAUAACAAAAGUUACAG